GUGGGGAAUCUUGCGCAAUGGGCGAAAGCCUGACGCAGCCAUGCCGCGUGAAUGAUGAAGGUCUUAGGAUUGAAAAAUUCUUUCACUGGGGACGAUAAUGACGGUACCCGGAGAAGAAGCUCCGGCUAACUUCGUGCCAGCAGCCGCGGUAAUACGAAGGGGGCUAGCGUUGCUCGGAAUUACUGGGCGUAAAGGGCGCGUAGGCGGACAGCUUAGUCAGAGGUGAAAGCCCAGGGCUCAACCUUGGAAUUGCCUUUGAUACUGGCUGUCUUGAGUUUGGGAGAGGUGAGUGGAACUCCGAGUGUAGAGGUGAAAUUCGUAGAUAUUCGGAAGAACACCAGUGGCGAAGGCGACUCACUGGCCCAAUACUGACGCUGAGGCGCGAAAGCGUGGGGAGCAAACAGGAUUAGAAACCCCUGUAGUCC
rnacentral:rRNA from 1 species